CCUACGGGAGGCAGCAGUGAGGAAUAUUGGUCAAUGGGCGAGAGCCUGAACCAGCCAAGUCGCGUGAGGGAGUACUGCCCUAUGGGUUGUAAACCUCUUUUGUCGGGGAGCAAAAGCCGGACGUGUCCGGCUGUGAGAGUACCCGAAGAAAAAGCAUCGGCUAACUCCGUGCCAGCAGCCGCGGUAAUACGGAGGAUGCGAGCGUUAUCCGGAUUUAUUGGGUUUAAAGGGGGCGCAGGCGGAUUUUUAAGUCAGCGGUAAAAUCGUGGGGCUCAACCCCAUCCAGCCGUUGAAACUGGGGAUCUAGAGUGUGUGAGAGGUAUGCGGAAUGCGUGGUGUAGCGGUGAAAUGCAUAGAUAUCACGCAGAACCCCGAUUGCGAAGGCAGCAUACCGGUGCACAACUGACGCUCAGGCACGAAAGCGUGGGUAUCGAACAGGAUUAGAUACCCGGGUAGUC
rnacentral:rRNA from 1 species